rnacentral:rRNA from 1 species
GUGGUGGAUUAGUGGCGAACCGGUGAGUAACACGUGAGUAACCUGCCCCUGACUCUGGGAUAAGCGUUGGAAACGACGUCUAAUACUGGAUAUGACUGCCGGCCGCAUGGUCUGGUGGUGGAAAGAUUUUUUGGUUGGGGAUGGACUCGCGGCCUAUCAGCUUGUUGGUGAGGUAAUGGCUCACCAAGGCGACGACGGGUAGCCGGCCUGAGAGGGUGACCGGCCACACUGGGACUGAGACACGGCCCAGACUCCUACGGGAGGCAGCAGUGGGGAAUAUUGCACAAUGGGCGAAAGCCUGAUGCAGCAACGCCGCGUGAGGGAUGACGGCCUUCGGGUUGUAAACCUCUUUUAGUAGGGAAGAAGCGUAAGUGACGGUACCUGCAGAAAAAGCACCGGCUAACUACGUGCCAGCAGCCGCGGUAAUACGUAGGGUGCAAGCGUUGUCCGGAAUUAUUGGGCGUAAAGAGCUCGUAGGCGGUUUGUCGCGUCUGCUGUGAAAUCCCGAGGCUCAACCUCGGGCUUGCAGUGGGUACGGGCAGACUAGAGUGCGGUAGGGGAGAUUGGAAUUCCUGGUGUAGCGGUGGAAUGCGCAGAUAUCAGGAGGAACACCGAUGGCGAAGGCAGAUCUCUGGGCCGUAACUGACGCUGAGGAGCGAAAGCGUGGGGAGCGAACAGGAUUAGAUACCCUGGUAGUCCACGCCGUAAACGUUGGGCGCUAGAUGUAGGGACCUUUCCACGGUUUCUGUGUCGUAGCUAACGCAUUAAGCGCCC